GUGUGCUUGAUAGAGUAUACUCGGGUUUGACACAAAAGAUUUCUUCCGGUGGCUUCUUAAAGAAGACAUUAUUCAACUUCGCAUAUUCAUAUAAGCUGAAUAACAUGAAGAAAGGGAUUACACAUGGAGAGGCAUCUCCACUUCUUGAUAAAAUUGUGUUUGAUAAGAUAAAGCAAGGUUUAGGGGGUAGGGUACGUCUUAUUUUGUCUGGAGCAGCACCUUUAUCUGCACAUGUGGAAGGUUACUUACGGGUUGUGACUUGUGCUCAUGUCCUACAAGGAUAUGGUAUGCUCUUUUUAAAU